AAGUCAAUGAAACUAAAGGUUUUUUUAAAAAGAUAAAUAAGACUGACAAAACUUUAUCUAUCCUAAGAAAAAAGGAAAACUCAAAUAAAAUGGGAAAUGAAAGAGGGGACAUUACACCUGUUAACAGAAAUACAGAGGAUCCUAAGACUACUAUGAACAAUUACACACAAAUAAGUUGGAUAGAAAUGGAUACAUUUCUAGACACACACAAUCUAGACAUGUGUCAAGACCAAAUCAUAAAGAAGCAGAAAAUAUGAACAGACCAGUAACGAAUGAGGGCAUUGAAUCCGAAAUAAAAACUCCCCUAUCAAAGAAAUGUCCAGGCCUGGACCUGACGGCUUCAUCUUUAAGUUCUACUCUGUUGUAGGCAGCUUUUUUGCUGCUGUGACUAAAGGACCCAAUCAGCACAAUUGUAGGGGAGGAAAAGUUUAUUUGAGGGCUCAUGGCUUCAGAGGUCUUGGUCCAUACAAGGCUGGCUCCAUGCCUCAGGGCUCAAGGGGAGGCUGAACAUCAAGGCAGGAGAAUGUGGCCAGGGAAGCAGCUCACAUCAUGAUCAGGAAGCAGAGAAAGAGGACCGCUCACCAGAUAAAAAUAUAUGCCCAAAGGCUUGCCCCAGGGACCCACCUCCUCCAGCCACACCUACCACCUCAGUUACCACCCAGUUAAUCCCCAUCAGGCAACUAAUUCACUGAUUGGGUUAAGACUCUUAUAACCCAAUCAUUUCUCCUCUACCUUCUUGCAUUGUCUCACACGAGUCUCUUGGUGACACAGAAAACAUGUAAGCCAUAAUGUACUGCAAACAUUUAAUGAGGAACGAAUACCAAUCCUAGUCAAACUCUUCCCAAAAGCUAAAGAAAAGGGAAAAUUUCCAAACUAAUUUUAUGAUACUCAAGGCAGACUAGGAUACCAAAGGAAGAGAAAAUUACCGGCCUACAUCCCUGAUAAACAGAGAUGUAAAAAUCCUCAACAAAAUACAUGCAAACCACAUUCAAUAGCAUAUUAAAAGGAUCAUUUGCCAAGAUUGAGGGGGAUUUAUCUAAGACACAAGGAUGCACCGAUGUAGGCGAACCUAUAAACCUAACUGCACUCCACAGAAUGAAGACAACCCUUGCAAGAAGUCAGUUAUACAAUGGGAUACCUUAAAGAAUAGAGGUCAAAUACAACAAGCCUACAGCUACCUUCAUACUAAAUGUUGAAAGCAUUUUCUCCAAGAUCAGGAACAAGGGUGCCCACUCUCAACACAUCCACUUGAUACAGUAUUGGAAGCCCCAUCAGAGCAAUCAGGCAAGAGAGAGAAACACAAUGUGUGCACAUUGCAAAGAAGGAAGGUAACUGACUCUGUCUACAGAUGCACUGUCUUAUGUACAGAAAACCUUAAGACCUCAUGAAAAUGCUAUCACACUGAUAAAUGAAAUCAGUAAAGUUGUAAUUUUUUAAAACAAAGAUUCAGUAGCCUUUCUGCAUACUAACAGCAAACUCUCCAAAAUAGAAAUAGAGAGGGAAAAAAUCCCAUUCACAGUUAAAAAAAAAAAAGGUGGGUGGGGGGUGUCUUUCAAUAGUCAUUUUUGAACAUGCAAAGUGGCAAAAAAUUUUAGCCACCCUGAGGCCACACCCCC
rnacentral:lncRNA from 1 species